CGAACGCUGGCAGCGUGGAUAGGCAUGCAAGUCGGACGGGAUCGGGAAGGUAGCAAUAUCGGCCCGUGAGAGUGGCGGAAGGGCGAGUAGCACGUGGGCAACCUGUCCAGCAGGUGGGGAAAACCUCGGGAAACUGAGGCUAAUACCGAAUGAGGCGCCCGCUCGCAUGAGCGGAGCGCGAAAGGGGGCCGCAAGGCUCCCCCUGCACGAGGGGCCCGCGCACCAUCAGCUAGUUGGCGGGGUGACGGCCCACCAAGGCCUACGGUUAGCUGGUCUGAGAGGAUGGCCAGCCGCACUGGGACUGAGAUACUGCCCAGACUCCUACGGGAGGCUGCAGUCGAGGAUCAUUCGCAAUGGGGGCAACCCUGACGAUGCGACGCCUGCGUGGAGGAUGGAGGCCUUCGGGUCGUAAACUCCUGUCAUGGGGGAAGAGGCGGAGGGACCCAACACGUCCCCGAGUUGACGGUACCCCAAGAGGAAGCGACGGCUAACUCUGUGCCAGCCGCGGC
rnacentral:rRNA from 1 species